ensembl:lncRNA
UUUACUUAUUUAUUAUGAUGAAAUGCACUGCAAUAUGUUUGCAAGACGGACCAGAUCCAAAACCCACUGAAGACGCCCAUGAGCCCUGAGGAAUCACAUUGCCUUGCAGCCACUGUACAGCCAUGAAAACCAGCUGAAAACAAAACCGAGCCUCUUCGGAGAAAGCCCCACAAGUGACCUCUUCAGCAAAGUGGACAAAGAUUUACAUUGGCUUCUCUUCUCCCCGGCUAUCACUUACACUACAUGCACACUGUUGUUCCUCCUGCCUGUGCCAUUGUACUUCCCUUCUAACCUGUUUUCAACCUGCAAAGGCUUUUGCAAGGAAGUCAGCACACAGCAAUGGUGUGAGCUUACAGCACGUUGGCUGCUUUGUGCUAAUUUCCCAUUAGUGCACAUAGGCGGUAGUUUCGAAGAUAGGUGCGGUGCCUUGUAUGUCAGUGGGUGUUCUAAGGUCUGCAGCUGGGCAGAUGGAUCAGUACUGCCUGACAUAUCAGCUUAUAGUGCAAGGAGACCGUUACUUCAGAUGAAUUUGCUAUGGAACCGUAAAAAGCCUCUGUUAUGAAUAGUCUUCUACAGACAGGAUGAUGUAACAUCCAGUAUAAGGCACCAUAACUGUGUUGUUUACAUUUUUGGUGUGCUGUCCCAUAUAUAAAUCCCCAGUGCUCCAAAAAACAAUGCAUUAAAAGUUAAGGAUGAAUCCAAUCAAUAACCUACUGCGUUAUUCAUGGGUUCAGCAAUGCAGAGUUAAUCCUUUGGGACAAUGACAUUAGGACAUUUGAACAAAACGUACAGCACCCUGCCUAACACCCAGUCUGCACGGAGGAUAAAACCCACUGCUAUAACCUUCAUCCUCUUCCUCCAGGGAUAGAGACGUUCCUGCUCAGCACUGGAACUUCUGGAGAUGAUAAACACAAGCAACUCAUCCCCAGCUCCAUCCUGAGCACCUUCAGCAUUGCCACUCAGCACCUCAAAAUUGUGUGCGUCCAAUGCCAACUGUCCACCAUGGCAAAGGAACAAGACAUUUGCUCCAAGGUGGUAAACAGAAGCUCAGUGCACCCCCCUUGGCUUGUACAGAGGUUUUGCACUGCCCAACUGGUCGG